rnacentral:rRNA from 1 species
GACGUAGGGCGCGAGCGUUGUCCGGAUUUAUUGGGCGUAAAGAGCUCGUAGGCGGCUUGUUGCGUCGGCUGUGAAAACCCGCGGCUUAACUGUGGGCUUGCAGCUGAUACGGGCAGGCUAGAGUUCGGUAGGGGAGACUGGAAUUCCUGGUGUAGCGGUGAAAUGCGCAGAUAUCGGGAAGAACACCCGUGGCGAAAGCGGCUCUCUGGAACGGUACUGACGCUGAGACGCGAAAGCGUGGGGAGCGAACAGG